UGGUAAUACCGGAUGCUCCGCUCCAUCGCAUGGUGGGGUGGGAAAUGCUUUUGCGGCAUGGGAUGGGGUCGCGUCCUAUCAGCUUGUUGGCGGGGUGAUGGCCCACCAAGGCGUUGACGGGUAGCCGGCCUGAGAGGGUGACCGGCCACAUUGGGACUGAGAUACGGCCCAGACUCCUACGGGAGGCAGCAGUGGGGAAUAUUGCACAAUGGGCGCAAGCCUGAUGCAGCGACGCCGCGUGCGGGAUGGAGGCCUUCGGGUUGUAAACCGCUUUUGUUCAAGGGCAAGGCACGGUUUCGGCCGUGUUGAGUGGAUUGUUCGAAUAAGCACCGGCUAACUACGUGCCAGCAGCCGCGGUAAUACGUAGGGUGCGAGCGUUAUCCGGAUUUAUUGGGCGUAAAGGGCUCGUAGGCGGUUCGUCGCGUCCGGUGUGAAAGUCCAUCGCCUAACGGUGGAUCUGCGCCGGGUACGGGCGGGCUGGAGUGCGGUAGGGGAGACUGGAAUUCCCGGUGUAACGGUGGAAUGUGUAGAUAUCGGAAAGAACA
rnacentral:rRNA from 1 species